rnacentral:rRNA from 1 species
CCUACGGGUUGCAGCAGUGGGGAAUAUUGGACAAUGGGCGCAAGCCUGAUCCAGCCAUGCCGCGUGAGUGAAGAAGGCCUUAGGGUUGUAAGGCUCUUUCACCGGUGAAGAUAAUGACGGUAACCGGAGAAGAAGCCCCGGCUAACUUCGUGCCAGCAGCCGCGGUAAUACGAAGGGGGCUAGCGUUGUUCGGAAUUACUGGGCGUAAAGCGCGCGUAGGCGGAUAGAUAAGUCAGAGGUGAAAUCCCGGGGCUCAACCCCGGAAUUGCCUUUGAUACUGUUUAUCUUGAGUGCAGAAGAGGUAAGUGGAAUUCCGAGUGUAGAGGUGAAAUUCGUAGAUAUUCGGAGGAACACCAGUGGUGAAGGCGGCUUACUGGUCUGCAACUGACACUGAGGCGCGAAAGCGUAGGGAGCAAACAGGAUUAGAUACCCCCGUAGUC